rnacentral:rRNA from 1 species
UACGAAGGGGGCUAGCGUUGCUCGGAAUCACUGGGCGUAAAGGGUGCGUAGGCGGGUUUUUAAGUCAGGGGUGAAAUCCUGGAGCUCAACUCCAGAACUGCCUUUGAUACUGAAGAUCUUGAGUCCGGGAGAGGUGAGUGGAACUGCGAGUGUAGAGGUGAAAUUCGUAGAUAUUCGCAAGAACACCAGUGGCGAAGGCGGCUUACUGGUCCGGUUCUGACGCUGAGGUGCGAAAGCGUGGGGAGCAAACAGG